rnacentral:rRNA from 1 species
GUGCAGCAGGCGAGAAUCUUCCACAAUGGGCGAAAGCCUGAUGGAGCGACGCCGCGUGACUGAAGAAGCCCUUCGGGGUGUAAAAGUCUUUUAUCUGGGAACAAUUCCCCGCUUGCGGGGUGAGGGUACCAGAUGAAUAAGGGGCCGCCAAACUCGUGCCAGCAGCGGCGGUAAGACGAGUGCCCCGAGCGUUAUCCGGAAUUAUUGGGCGUAAAGCGUCUGUAGGGGGUUUGACGCGUCUCUUGUUAAAUUUCACUGCUCAACAGUGAAUCUGCGAAGGAAACGGUUAAACUUGAGGAUGUGAGAGGCUGAUGGAACUCAGGGAGUAGGGGUGAAAUCCGUUGAGACCCUGAGGAACACCAAAGGCGAAGGCAUUCAGCUGGCGCAUUCCUGACCCUGAGAGACGAAAGCGUGGGUAGCGAACGGGAUUAGAUACCCCCGUAGUCC